rnacentral:lncRNA from 1 species
GAUGUUAUUUUUUAUUGUGUAAGAAGUAAUAUUGUUAAUGAGAAUUUCGUUUUAAGUAAAAAAUUUAUAAGUGUCUUUCACUUGACUAUUUUAGGAGAAUAUUUCGGUCCUUGAGGUUUGGUAAAUAAAGGAAACAACAGAGUAAGGAAGGUACAUAUCAAACUGAUUAAAAAAAUAAUAAUAAAUGUUUCACUCAUUGUUACGUGAUUUGUAAGAGAGAGAUAUUGUAAACCAUGUUUUAAGGACAAAUUAUUGGAAGUUGAGGAUCUAUCCACUCUCUUACGGAAGAUUGAUUCUAACUUUAGUUUUAGAGUUUAAAUGAAAAACCGACUGGAAAAGCUAUUUGAAGAGAAAUCAUUGUCUAGUGGUUGUUAGGAAUUGUCAUGUGAGUCUAGGCCAUAAUUCAGAUUCUUUCACUAUGAUUUCAAUAAUGGAUAAAAGUUUUAUAUGGAACUUGAAGUUUUACCAAGAAGAAUUGGAAAGUAUACAGAGAUGCCUCCUUUCAGUUACCUUUUUGAUGGGAUUGAGAAUCAGUUUCUGUAGUGUGUGUGGCUCCGCCUUUCUCUGAUCCAACAUUAUGUCUUCUUGAUUCCUGUAUUGUUUGAAUACUUUCACUAAUACUUAUCAAUUCCUGCAUUGCUGUAGUGUGUUUGAAACCUAUAAAAGGAAACGAAGAAGAAGAUAGUCUUGUGGUGCGGUGAUGGUGGUGAUAUGGAAGAGUGAGGGCUUGGUUAAUAGGUAAAGAAGACGAAGAAUAUGAAGGCUAAGCCAAUAAAGCAGAAGUAAAGAAAAGAUGAGGAACAAAAUAAGAAGACGGAUGAGACAAGACGAAUCAUAAAGAAUAAGAAGAUGAGGAGACUAAGCAGAAGAAGUUGAAGAUGAAGACAGGAUGAAGAAAAAUCCGAAGAACAAUAAGUCAGAGAAGAUGAAGACUAUGAUGAAUGAAAACCGAAGAGAAAUACGAAGACAAUUCAAAGGAGAAAGAAGAAGAAGAAAAGUUCAAGAAGACACAAACGUAUCAAAGAAGAUGUAGAAGUCAAAACCGAUUAAGAAGAAGAAGAUAAUAUAAAAAUCGAUUAAGAAGGAGAAGAUAAUAUAAGAACCGACAAGAAAGAAAGACACCUCUAGCAAAACAGGAAAGAAGGUCCAAAGAGGGAGAGAGGCCAAGAAUUAGUCAGCGAAAGAAAAAGAACCAUCUCUAAAUACAAUGUCUAAGUCAAAG